GCCAGACGCAAGACGCCGGGCCUACCGCGGGAGCGUGAGGGAAACCGUGCGUUCCGUUCCAAGGCAUCUGUGAGCCCGCGGAGUAUACACCAUGAGCAAAGCUCACCCUCCCGAGUUGAAAAAUGAAAUUAAAUGGUGGCAGACAUGUCCAAGGAAUAUUGCGGGGAUUUGAUCCCUUCAUGAACCUUGUGAUCGAUGAAUGUGUGGAGAUGGCGACUAGUGGACAACAGAACAAUAUUGGAAUGGUGGUAAUACGAGGAAAUAGUAUCAUCAUGUUAGAAGCCUUGGAACGAGUAUAAAUAAUGGCUGUUCAGCAGAGAAACCCAUGUCCUCUCUCCAUAGGGCCUGUUUUACUAUGAUGUAAAAAUUAGGUCAUGUACAUUUUCAUAUUAGACUUUUUGUUAAAUAAACUUUUGUAAUAGUCAAAAAUGCUUUCUCAGAUGUUCUGAAUAUAGAAUAUCAGCUCUCAUUCCAAUUUUUUCUAACAUGAAUUUUCCUGGUUGACACUGAUUUCAAAGGGUUUUAUGCAUUAAAAUGAAAGAAUCUUAUUAAAUGUGAAACAUGGC
rnacentral:sRNA from 1 species